AUGACUCUAUACAAAUGCAUCAUCAAACGGUUUAUGUCCACUUGGGAAGAAAAUAAAAUGUGUGUGCCAAUGAUUCUUGAGAAUUCUUUCUUCUGGGGAAUCUCAGAUUCUAUUAUAAACAUGAAGAGCUCAUAUAAACAGCUGAAAUCUGGAAGACUCAGAUUUUCUCCUCAUUAUGUGCACAUAAAGAUAGAUGGAGAGAAGAUUCACCUUGAACAAGUCACUACUAACCUUCUGCUGAGCUUGAGAACUAGUAGGCUGCCCCAGUUUUUACACUGAUAAAAGGAGUCUGGCCAUGCUGUUUUCUCAAAAUAUGUUGAUAAACUGUCUCUUCACAGCAAGAACACAUUUAGCUGAUACAUCUGUUACUCAGAUUGUCACAUAGAAUUAGCAAAUCAAUUCAAAUAUUAAGUAUUUUAUUGCUAUCUAGGAGUCAGAAGCAAGGACUGGAGGGAUCAGUCUUGGCACUAUCUCUGCAGAAUUUUUAAAUGAAUAUUCUUAGAAACAACUGAGAAAUAUUCUCUAACAAGAGAAAGCUAAAGAUGGCAAAAGGAUUUUGCUCAACAUUUAUUUUUAUUUUACUUAAAGUUUUAUAAGUAGAAAAAAAAAAACUUUACAAGAGAGAUUUAAAAUCCAGCUGACAAGGGAGGUCAGAGUGAUGGGGCUAACCCUGGUCAGGGUCCUGUCUGUGGGCCUGAUGCAGUGGUUGCCUUGGUUUAUUGGGCUAUUCAGACACUGUUUGCUGCCCUUUGCUAUUAACCACUCCUCAAACCUCAGAGGGAGCCGAUGUGUGUUUUACAACUCUCUAUCAUAAUACUUUGAUGGGUUGCUGAAACUGUUUGCAAAAUUGGAUAUUCUUAACAUUUUGCAAUUUUUUGAUGGAGCUGACUUUAAGAAAAGUACACCUAAAACCCAACAUUAUAGAAAGGGAAAAGUUAUUUCUAUGUCAGCUGCAAUCAGAAGCUGAAAAUAACUUUAUUUAUUCUUGAGAUCCCAGUGAUGCCCUUUCUGAUAAUGAAGCCUGCUUGUAUUUGUUAGUCAGUGAAGGAUUCUAAGACAGAUACCCUCUCUGUUCUUAUGCAUCAAAGAUAAUAAUCCUGUUGACUUUUUCCAAAAUAUAAAAUACCAUUAUCGAUGCUCAAAUAAUCUGAAUCUUUACCUGGGGAUCUGAAGUGGAACCUGUCAGAAAAGAAUUACGUGCAGAGCAGAGCAAAUUUUUGUUGUGUGGAUCUCUGUCUUUUCCAUUGAAAGACUAUAGCACAGAGCCUCAAGAAAAGAUCUAGUCUUCCCUUGGUCACAAUUUAUAUCUUUUCUCAAAAAAAAAAGAGAACAGGCAGGAAAAGUAGUGAUGCAUGUCUGAUAUUGAUGGAAAGCAAGUAUGUACCUCAUCCAUUGAAAACAUUGAUCAAGGCCACUUUGCUCUUUUUUAAUGAUGGCCCCAUAAAUCUGCCAGUAUCAAUGAAAGUCACUGUUAUCUACUGAGGUUCUAAAUGGCCAUGCUAAGGAAGCUAAGCCGUAGCUAAUGAUUCUUUGCAUCCAGGAGCUAAAUUGCCAUGCUCUCCCCUUUCAAAACUCUUCUGCAUCUUGUUUAGUUUUUGUUUACUUGUUGGCUGUGUUGUUUGGUAAACUGCACAUGAAGAAAACCAGGACACACAAAAAAAGUAAGAAAUUCCACAUACUCACAGCAAUUUUUAAUGAAGUGGUUUUAUUUUGAAAAGCUCUUCUCUCAGUGGGUUUCAGUCAAGAAGGAUGAGAAUCCAACAGGAUGUGGCUUUUUUCUGACAAUACAGGCUAUAGAAUGUGGCAAACAAACUUGAAUAAAGAAGACCUGGAAAAGAGAUAUUCCUGUUAU
rnacentral:lncRNA from 1 species